rnacentral:rRNA from 1 species
GAUGAACGCUAGCUACAGGCUUAACACAUGCAAGUCGAGGGGAAACGACAUCGAAAGCUUGCUUUUGAUGGGCGUCGACCGGCGCACGGGGGAGUAACGCGUAUCCAACCUGCCCAUCACUUGGGAAUAACCUUGCGAAAGUAAGACUAAUACCCAAUGACAUCCCACGAAGACAUCUGAAUGGGAUUAAAGAUUUAUCGGUGAUGGAUGGGGAUGCGUCUGAUUAGCUUGUUGGCGGGGUAACGGCCCACCAAGGCAACGAUCAGUAGGGGUUCUGAGAGGAAGGUCCCCCACAUUGGAACUGAGACACGGUCCAAACUCCUACGGGAGGCAGCAGUGAGGAAUAUUGGUCAAUGGGCGAGAGCCUGAACCAGCCAAGUAGCGUGCAGGAUGACGGCCCUAUGGGUUGUAAACUGCUUUUAUAAGGGAAUAAAGUGGGUCUCGUGAGACUUUUUGCAUGUACCUUAUGAAUAAGGACCGGCUAAUUCCGUG